rnacentral:lncRNA from 1 species
UUCAUCUCUUUUUUGCUUUUUGGGUGUCCAUAACAUACUGUUUGAGGGUUAAGCAGCGGGAGGGAUGGCAAUUUGAUUAAUCUCAAAGAUUGCAUGUUGAGAAAGAAAGAAACGUACUCCUGAUUUUUGUUUGGUUCCUUCUCCUCAUAUGCAAUCAGCAUCGCCAUUUGGGGUGGGGUUCACUCUGGUCAGGCAUCUCACAUGUUGAAGGUUGUCAAUAGUAGUAUUUUUACUGUGGCAUUAAUUUGAAGCAAAGUACUCCAUCCACAUCUUGAUACGCCAUGAAUAUUCAUUCAAUCUCCCCAUUGCAGCAGAAUAAAGUGUUGUGUUCCUGAUAUAUUCCUGAGUUGGAGGCGGGUGUCCCAACUAAUUAUAAGAACGCACCCAAAUGAAUUGGUUGGCGCUGGCCACCACACACAUACAUGUACAGCUCGACUUAUAUACGUAGUCCAGUACAUUUUCAUAAUACUCACACAAGUACUGUAUGUGCAAGCUAGGAAAGAAGGAAUGAUGAGUUUUUGUUUUUUCGAAAAGCAAGCAUGGGUCAUGACAGCUCAUUCUGCUACCAGUACUGCUUUUGCUUUUGCCGACUAGUAAAAAAUUUUUUUUUUUUGCUUUUUAUUCUUUCUUUACUUUUGUUGGACCUCAUCUCAUCUCAUCAUGUGGAAGCGCCCUAAAUCUUUGUCAAAAUUUUACUUAUUUUUCAUUAAUGAUGCAGUCCUAAAGAUUAAGGGCGCGCGGCAUUGAUUUACCCAUAAAACAAACUUCCAGCCUCAAGGUUAACAAUUAUAUAUGCAUAAGAGUUACCGCUAUCACAAUAUUGAGUUUCUUAGCCUAGUAAUGUGAUACAACAACUUAAUCUGUGGAUGAUCUACCUACCCAUAUACCAUUUGUUGCCCUGAUGACUCAUCAUGCAUGCAUUCAUGCUCAUUAAUUAUUAAUCUGCUAUAUAAACCUAAUUCCAAGCACUCGAUCUAUAAAUGUAAUCAAUUUGAUGAUUGGCGGCUAGUAGGAGGUGGAGGAAGGAACUUUAGGGUAAUGAGCGCAUUCCAGGGGGCCGCUGGAGGAGGAGGAGGAGGAGGGGGAUAUCAAGGCGGGGUUGGCACAGCUUUCCCUUCGGCAACUUUCCCUCAUUAUGCCAUACAACAAGGAAUUCCUUAUAAUCUAUACGGGUAUGUUGUCAUGUACUAGCGCUAGUAU